rnacentral:rRNA from 1 species
UACGUAGGGGACGAGCGUUGUCCGGAAUUACUGGGCGUAAAGGGCGCGCAGGCUGUAGAUCAAGUCAGCUGUGAAAUGUCUGGGCUUAACCCGGGCAUGCGGUUGAAACUGAUGUACUGGAGUGCUGUAGAGGCAAGUGGAAUUCCCAGUGUAGCGGUGAAAUGCGUAGAUAUUGGGAAGAACACCGGUGGCGAAGGCGACUUGCUGGGCAGCAACUGACGCUGAGGCGCGAAAGCCAGGGGAGCAAACGGGGAUUAGAUACCCCGGUA